GUAAGGAAGCUUAAGUACCUUCAAGCCAUCAGAAGAAGAAAUGUAUUGUUCUUCUGAGCUGUACAUGAAUGGUGUUUGAAUUGAGCUCCCAUCAAGAAGGUAGAAGUAGUCGCUUUUUGUUACACGUGAAUCAAACUGGUCUGUCCAAGCUCCUUUGAAAUAAAGGGCAUUGCCAAGAACAAGUCUAGUGGUGUUGCUAAUAGACCCCGCGGGGAGAAUAUCUUUGAUGAGACCGGUUGUGACUUUCUCUACCCAUGAGUUCACUUGAGCAGUAACUUCCGCGGCCUGGACCAAGUCAAAAUAAAGAAAGCUCAGUUAUGUAAUGAAAAUAAUUUGACAACACUAUUGUGCUACCCAGUUUGAAAAAAAAUCUCUCAAAGUACAAAAUAUUACAGUUGCCAAGAAUGCAAAGCAGAAUACUAACGUUUUACAAAGCAUUUCUAUGUAUAAUAAAGUUUCACACACAUAGUAAAAUCAUCACAUACAACCACAGACGACAGAAAAAUAUUCAUAUGUGCAUACGAAAUUGAUUAAAUGGUCAUCACAACAUCUCGAAGCACCAUUUUUCAAUACCUAGGAAAAUUCAGCACAUAGAUAUCGGCUAUACAUACUCCUAUAUGUACACUACUCUGGACCACAAUAAGCAACAUGACAACACGACGAUGAAUAUUUCCACGGUAUCAUAAAUUCAGAUGAACAACAAUUACAUUUCAAUAAUUAAGUUGGACAGAAAUGCCAAGGGAUUAAUAAGUACUCCAUGCAUAUUACAAGUACGAGCUAGACAAAAAUAAAUUGCAUAAACCUGAAUGGUUUAACAGUAGGGUAUUAAGACAGUUCUAUUUUAUUUUACCCAACCAACCGAGAUACUAUAUGUAUGUAACUAUAGAAAGUUGAAAACGGUGCUAGAACUUCUAGUGUUAAAAACAGUGGUACAGAUAUAACCACUUAAUUUCAAAAGAAAAAGGACUAUAACAAAUCUUGAGGCUUUUCUAAAUAUCAGCAUAAACACAAUACCACUAUAUUACAUCAGCACAAAACAAGCACUUUGGGAGAAACAGUGGCAUAUGCCAUAGUUAUUUAACUUUGUACAUGAUAAUGCCAUAGAUAACGAGCAAACCUUUUUACCAUGUAUUUGUUUUAUGGUGAAAACCUUGUCGUCAUUUUGGGAACGGGCUAGGUAAAGAAGGGGGGUCACCUUAGUUUGGAAGUCCACGGACUGAGCUUCGGCCUUGUAUUUGCACACUGCAAGCUCCUGGAAGGAUGGCUUGAGCGGCAGCGAUGCGUCCACGAAGACGCCGUUAGCGAAGGUGACACGCGGACUAUCGGCAUAGGACGCGUCGGCAAGCACGAACUGCACCACCUGCUCGGCGAGCGCGUGGAGCCUCUCAGCCUCGCCUUCCCCCAGUGUAGCGACGAGUUGGUCACGGGUGGCGCCCCCAGCGCCAGCGGUGAUGAGGCUGAGCGCGACGUGAAGGGAAACCGGAGAGAAUGCGACAUUGUUGGCAGUAGAUUCGGGGUUGGAUGAGAUAGUGGAGGCGAGGCGAAAGCCGAAGCGGGUCUGGUGCGCAAUGGAGAGGCGGACGUCGGUGGCGAGGGUGGUUGCCAUGGCUGGGGUAGUGGUUCGUUGGGCUUUUGUUAGAGUUGAGAGAAAGAUGGGUGAUUGGGAAGUGUUGUUUUCAUGGGUGAAUUGUGGCUAUUUAACGGGAGCCACAUGCUAAGGAUUGAAGCAUCUGCGUCAUAAAGCAAGAUAAGUGGUUUGUUGUCUCUUGUGUAAUUAGUCAUUGUCGUGUCAUUUCGUAUAUAUGUAAGCAACCUAAGCUUAUCCUAUCAGCUUAGUGUGGCGCUUCCGGUCUGAUCUUCCCGUACGUCUGAGUUCUGUAGAACAUCGGAUUUGUGGUAGACCACUACACGCCUCGUAACCUUUUAACCGGUCAUUUUAAAAGAAUUGUUCAUUUUCUUAAAAUCACACAACUGAUUAGCAAUACUGAGUUCCAAGCUUAAGAUAGCGGUGCCGACCUUUAAAGUUUUAACUAGUAAAGAAGAUGUGCAUGGCAUUGCAUAAUUAGGAUUCUCUUCACACAACUGAUUAGUAGUACUAAGUUCCAAGCUUGAGAUAUAGCUAUACCAAUGUGUAAAGUUUUAACUAGAAAAAGAGGAUUUGCAUGAUAUUGCAUGACAAAUCCUAAUUGGGAUUUGCAUCACUUGCCGUGGGGUGUGGGCUUAACUUGUGGUCAAAUUAAAGUUUAUGAUCCAACGGAUGACACUGCGGCAUAUCCAACGCUACCCCUAGAAGAUGACAAAACUGAUAAUAUAUUAAUAUGUGCUUUUCAUCACUUCUGCUAGUUCCCCUAGAACAUCUGAUUUAUGUGGAGUUUGCUACACGUAUCGUGACCUUUUUGUUGUUUAAUUUAGAAGCUUGGUAUUUUCUUAAGAUCACACAACUGAUUAGUAGUACUAAAUUCCAAGCUUGGGAUUCCAAUGCCAACGUCUAAAGUUUAACUUGUAAAGAAGAUUUGCGUGAUAUUGCACCAUAUACCAAAUUGGGAUUUGCAUCAUUUGUUGUGGGGUUGGGCUUAGUUUGUGGUUAAAAUAAAGUGUUAUGAUCCAAAGCAGGGACGGACCCAGAAAAAAAAAGGGAAUGCGUGUACACUUUUUUCUAAAAAAAGGUCUAUUUCAAUUGGUUCGGAUGGGCCUUGAAAAUCAGCUAAUUAUUACUACUCCCUCCAUUCCUAAAUAUUUGUCUUUCUAGAGAUCUUAACAAGUGACUACAUACGGAGCAAAAUGAGUGAAUCUACACUCUAAAAUAUGUCUAUAUACAUCCGUAUGUGAUAGUCCAUUUGAAAUUUCUAAAAAGACAAAUAUUUAAGAACGGAGGGAGUACAUGGUAAAAAAAAUCCCAAAAUUCUAGGUGUGUCAUGGCACACCGCUUAGGUACGCCAUUGAUCCAAAGUGGAGCAAGAUUCCAUUCCUCAAAGAGAAAAAUUCACUACAGGUCCAUUUACUUGCGCUGGCGUUAGCUUUAGUCCCUGUGGUUACAAAUACCCAAAAUACAGUCACCAAACUUGCUCUAAGGGGUCAUCUAUGGUCCAUUAUACGGUUUUGUGUAUGUAUGCGCUGAGCUGGCUCGAGUCAACCGAUGCCAAGUGUGCAUUGACUGCCACAUGUGCCCAGCCGCUCGAUUACGCAUGCACCCAAUUAUUUUUUGCAAAACUGGCAGUUAUUAAAAGAUCUGCCCCCCCUCCCCACCCGGUCGCACACCUGGUCGGAUCGAGCCACACCCGCUCGGAUCGAGCCCAACCGUUGCCGAACCGAGCCACUCUCCCGCUUCUCGCUUCUCCCCUGGUUCGUCGUCGCCGCCGAGGUGGUUCGUCAUCUCCAGCGUGGGCGAGCAUGGCGAUGGCUCCAUGAGCUCGUCGUCGGCGCUGCGCCGCCGCCGUCCGCACCAUUUGGGAGGGGCCUGCAUGACGUCCCUCUCACACCGUCGCGUCGCGACGACCAUGCCUUGCCACCCCUCUAUGGUACGUCACCGUCGCUGGCAGGUAUUGUGCUUGAUCUGUCCAUGAAAGCUCCGGGGAAGAGCUUGCGUGCGAGUCAAUUGCGCAUAGCUGCUAGGGUUUGGGCUAUUUCUCUCCCUUUUUGCCACGAAUGGUGUAGGGUUUAGGGUUUUAGCAGAGGACGUUUAGCAGGGCCACAGAUCAAAGCUAGGGUUUCUGAUGUGCUAUGGAUCUUGUAUCUAGAGAUGGUCUAGGGUUUGCAUAGCAAAAUUAGGGUUUGAUUUUGGAGCAUGUUAGGGGGAGGCCAUGCUCGCUUCUCCCCUGUUUCUUUGCUUUAUAUGGCCUGGUUGUUGAUAAUGAUAUGAGAUGAUCGUUUUGCGCAUGAGAUGAUCAUUUUGCCCAUAAAAGAUCAUAUAUUUGGUCAAUGGAGGCCAUGAAUCCGUGCUUUCUCUCUGCAACAUGUAUGAAAUUUGCUCUGUAAGAUAACUGCAUUUAUAUGUGUUAACCUGUCUGAAUAUUGACAUGUCUGAACUUGAUUUAGUACAAUAAUUGGACAUUGACAUUGAGCAUUGCCACUUUGCUUGUUUUGGUCCAAUUACAUUACUUUACUGCUUGCUCGGUACCCUUGGUUAGGUCCUGCUUAAUCAGUUAACUGAGCUACUGGUGGUUUGAUACAGUAACCGAACUUUUGGAGUUAAUUGAAUAUUUUCAGCUUGACUGAACCUUCAUAAAUGUCUCUGUUUAUCUUGUUUGAACAUUGCAACUUUGAACGUUUUGCAGGACCCCUAAGCAACCAGUUCUCUGUUGAGGUCAUACAUGGUGGCUAUAUCCUUUAUGCAGGCAAACAUAGGGAUUACCACAAAGGCCACUCCAUUUGGUAUGGCUACUGUGACAUAGAUAACCACAAAAUCAUAAAGAUCAGCUGCAUCAUAAAAGCAUCAUAAAAGGAAGAUAAGUGGUUUGUUGUGUCUCUCUUAAUUAGUCACCGCUGUGUCAUUUCAUAUAUAUGGAAGAAACCUGAACUAGUCCUAUCUCGAGUUAGCGUGGCGCUUCCGGUACGUCUGAAUUCUGUAGAACAUCAUAUUUAUGGGAGACCACUACACGCCACGUAACAUUUUAACUGGUCAUCUUAUUAAGAUCACACACAACCGAUUAGCAAUACUAAAUUCCAAACUUGAGAUAGCGAUGCCAACCUGUAAAGUUUUAAUCUUCUAUAUCUAAAUAGGGGCACCCCACUAGCUGAUUUUCCUGCCUCCUAAUGAAGCCACGUCAUUUCAAGUGUUACAACCGUUGAUGUAGUAUACCUCAUUAGUCUAGAGCCGUCUGAUCAGAGUUGAUGAAAUUUACUAAGACCUGCCACCGGUAAGUGGGAAAUAACGAUUCAUUCAUUGGUACUGUCCCGCUCGCUUCCUAGGCCUUCGGUCAAAUUUUCGUAGGUGGGCUGGUAGUUGGUGGGAUUUGAGCACGUUCUAGCCCGUGGAAAACAAAUAGCCCAUGUAUCCUACCCACAUCACGUCAGAAAUAUUAUCCUCCAUCGUGCACCCUAUUUGCCCCAUCCAGCCGCCGCUCCCAACCCAGUCCACCAGCCAGCCGCCGGCGCGACGCUACUACUCCCCGGACUAUCCCUCGGCUAACCACCGCCAUGUUGAUCGCUCCCUGGCCAGUCUUCCGGUCAGCCUCCGCCAUGCCCGACGCUCUCUUGGCCAGAUGGCGGCGCCGCGACCGAGGCUCCUCAGCCUCCUGCCACCACCACCGCGACCGAGGCUCCUCCACAUGCCGUCGCCGCAACGACCGACGAUCUCCCGUGCAUUAAUUCUCUUCCCGCUACCGCUCUAUAGCCACCACUACCCUUCUGCCUCCACGGCGUAUGAUAUCCCAGCCACAAAUGCACAUGAAACGGCCUGCCGCACCACACAAUUCCUCCCCUCAUUACCUCGCCUUUCAUUACCCUGCAGAUGCGGAAGAAAGUGGGUUUAAAUACCCCUAUGUAGUGCCAUCGUCAUCACAGACGCCUUCUCGCGUCCCAUCUGGAAAGAGGCCUCCGGCCUGGUAGCGGCACACUCUCUGUUUCGAGCAGCCUAUGAUUUUCUCAUCAAGAUGCUUAUGCCUUUGAAUCUUCUCAGGUUGCGUUUCAGAUCAAAGGUGCUCUGCUCCAUGUUAUGCUUCAAACAUCUCUUGCCGCUGGGAAUUGUUUCAUUACUUCACAGGUCUCUUACUCUCUUUGCAUUUUUCCAGAUUGUGCCUUACUCUUACUUUGUCAUGUGCAGGAAUGAUAGACUACUAAUAUGAAAAAUUAGGCUUUCAAUUUUCGUGGUACUUGCUAUAGUUCUUCUAGAUACAUAUUGCUCAUCCAAAAAAACUCUCUUUGUUGCCCAUAUUAUUAUACCUGAAUCACUGCCAAUAGGUACUAGAUGAACUAACCGGAAAGAGGCAAGGGGUAUCGAUUCAUGUUUGCAUGUUGUUGAAGAGUAUCAUGGAAUUGGAUAUGGGCUUUUCUCAUGUUGUUGUAACUUAGAUUACCAAUCACUUUUACUCUGUAGGAAAAUUUUUUAUCCCUUUCAUGUUGACCAUUUAUAAUUGUUCAUCUCCCUUAUACCGUAGAAACAAGAUUAUCUUAGUUUUCUUCUGGGUUGGAUAGUUCAAUUAGUUAUUCGUAAAAAAAUGGAUAGUUAAAUUAGUUAAAUGAUUAUAUGUGCAUGAGUAUGUUUGUUAGCAAUGCAACAUAUGUCUUUUUUUAAUUUAAGACAGACUGUGGUGUUCAUGUUGAUUCUAUCAACAUUUUUGUUAUCCUCCUUCUGCACUCCCCUAGAUUGCACUCCUAGAUCGCAAGGUGUCGGGCAUUUUGCUUCAUAGAUAUCUUGCUACUUGCAUUGGUAAGCACAUACUCAUCUCUAAAUUUAAUUGUUUACACAUGAUGAGCAUACACAACUUAUAUUUCUUUCCAUGCAUAUUACGUACCAUUGAAUUUCUUCCCCUGAAUUAUUAUGUGCAUUGCGUUUGUUCAAAACAUAUAGGCUAUAAUCUUCUUCCUUUUAAGGCGAUUGAGUGCAUAUGGUUUACAAAGAUGGAUGGUGCCAAAUAUUCUUCGAUGCAUCUUCGUAGGCAUUUAGUCUCAUGCAGUCAUGGACACCCCCACCAUCAGUCAUUACAUGUUGUCACCCCUGAAAUGAACCAAUCUACUGCUUCAACACAAGUGUGUAGACAACAUAGAAAUAGAGGUUAGUUAGGAUAAAGUACUGCAAAUUACCCUCAAGAUUUCUAUGAACGGACCACUGUAUUAGAGAAUGGUUUCACACAUUGUGCAAUAAAAAUGGACUUGGCAUUACUAACACAUUAGUUGUUCCUCAUAAUGUCCACUGCAGGCAUGUGCAGAUAUCUUUUCAAGUAGAAUCAGAAAAGAAAAAUCUUUUCAAGUAUGUGACAAAAUGAUUUGAUUGUACCAGAUAAAAAAUGGAGUCUAAUGCUAGGUCAUCCUUUUCACCAAGUGAAACGGCCAAUGAAAUAGAUAUUCAUCGAGAGUGUCGCUAUAUUGCACCAAAUGAGGCUGUUUGGCGCUUGCCUAAGUAUGACAUUCACCAUACAUACCCGUCCACAGAAAGACUCCCUGUUAUUCUUGCUGGAAUGAAGAUUGAUUCAGUACCUCAGAUCCCCAAAGGUCAUGUCAUAAAGAAAAGCUUCUCUAUCGCUAAUGCACAAGUGUUGCCCUCUACAAAGGUUAGAUAAUUUCUAUUAAUUCAGAAAAGUAUAUUCUUCCUAAUUUCAACCAAAUUUGCCUGCAAAAUACUAACUUGAACCAUGUAAUAUCUCCAGCCAUCUCCAAUCAAAGAAUUGACGACCCAUUCAUCUUCAAUUAUAAUAAUCGAGAGGUUUGCCAUGAAUACCAAUAUAGAAGUUACAACCUCUAUCUAAACACCGCUGACCAAUUUUUUUCUUCAUAGUCCAAUGAUCCAAUCACCAGAGGACUCAAACAACACUACAUAUCCCUCUUGCCUAGCGGCAGAUAUUGACACUGAGGAAAAACAAAACAAGUAUGCUUAGAACUCUCUGUACAAAUCAAUCGGCAGAUAUUCAACGGGAAAUUCAAAUGUCAAUUUUUUCUUGCAGGCACUCUUUAGCUAAAAGGAUCACUGAAUUUGCGGAAGAUGAAACUACCAACAAAGAGAGGUAUGAACGGAUAACAAUAAUCCUAUUUACCAUAUAAUUUCUCAACGGUGCAAUAUUUACAUGUCACAGUCAAAAGGAGGUAGAUCUUGAGGCCGCAGAAUUUCAUCUUCAAGUUGUCAAAAAGCAUAAACAAGACUGCAAGAGUAUGUGUGUCAUCUCAUAUUACUUACCAAAUUCCAAAUAUAAUAUUCACCAUUAUUUUUUUUCGUCCUCAAGCAACAUUGCAGACAACAACAUGAAAAUGAACAACUUAAACGGCCAUGAGGAUAAACACCAAUAGAAGCAUAGGUACUGUAAAUUUCAUGUCCAAACAAAAUUAUCUACAGUUUUGGUUUCUCUCCUCUAGCCUGAAUAGAGGAGGAUAACUGUAUCAAUAGUGCUCUCUUUUUACAACAUGCAGGAUAUCGUCAAAAACUCACUCAAGCAGCAACAAGCUACACUGCCUUAUGUUUAAAUUAGUUAUAUUGUGUUGUAAUCUCUCUCAUUAGUAUUACUUCUGGGUGAUCCUAUGCAUGUAAUGAGUUAUGGAUAGUGCUUAUGCAACUAUAUACGGACUGGAUUACAUUGCUUUCUAUUUACAUAUAGUUAUAUUAUGGCUCAGAUUUCAAUCCAUUGAACACUCACUGGUAAUUACAUGAUGAUCCUAUGCGUGUAGUGACAUAUGGAUUCACCUGCAUUCUGAGGUAUAUGUGUUGCUUUGCACUUUAUUGAGAUGAGCAUGUGGAUUUUACUAUAAAUGUUUCAAUAUAUAUAUUAUUUUCCUGUUACAUGUGCGAAUGGUACAAAAUUUAGGAUAGGUCAUGUUAAAAUUUCUGGUGAAAUUGCUUCCAACAUCUUGAUUACAUCCAUAUCAACAAGGUGUGUAGCAAGCAUGUAACACGCGAAGGGCCGAGAUCCACAGCAAGCCAACGAUCUGGCAAGUGUUUGUUUGCUUUCACGAUUUCAACAUUUAUCAUUGCAUAAACUCUCAUCCACAAAUUCCCGUAGCAACGCGCGGGGUACCAUCUAGUUAGUAUAAAGAAGAUGUGCAUGGCAUAACAUAAUUAUGAUUUACGCCACACAACUGAUUAGUAGUACUAAAUUCCAAGUUUGAGAUAGCUAGUCAACGUGUAAAGUUUUAACUAGAAAAGAGGAUUUGCGAUAUUGCAUGACAAAGCCUAAUUGGGAUUUGCUUCACUUGCCGUGGGUGUGGACAGAUAACAACUUCUUUCGCUCGCGCCGCUUCCGCGAGCGGCCGGGCGAAACCCUAGCCCGUCGCCGCCGCCUCCCACACUUUCGCCUCCUCCUCCCUCGCCACCGCCAGGGGAUGGCGCCGGGCAAAGCCCGUGCGUGCGUCGGUGGCGGCGGGGUCCUCCCCUCCCCACGAGGCGCGGGCGGCGCGGGACGUCCGGCUCCCGUGGUGGCGCGCAUGGCCAGGUACGACGUGCAGGCGAGUGGAUCUGGCGUGAGGGCGGCCAGGUGAGGGCGGAUCUGGCGAGGGUGUGGCGCGGCCUGCCGCGGAGGCGGCCAGGCUCGCGGAUCUGGCACCGGCGACGGCACGCGNNNNNNNNNNNNNNNNNNNNNNNNNNNNNNNNNNNNNNNNNNNNNNNNNNNNNNNNNNNNNNNNNNNNNNNNNNNNNNNNNNNNNNNNNNNNNNNNNNNNNNNNNNNNNNNNNNNNNNNNNNNNNNNNNNNNNNNNNNNNNNNNNNNNNNNNNNNNNNNNNNNNNNNNNNNNNNNNNNNNNNNNNNNNNNNNNNNNNNNNNNNNNNNNNNNNNNNNNNNNNNNNNNNNNNNNNNNNNNNNNNNNNNNNNNNNNNNNNNNNNNNNNNNNNNNNNNNNNNNNNNNNNNNNNNNNNNNNNNNNNNNNNNNNNNNNNNNNNNNNNNNNNNNNNNNNNNNNNNNNNNNNNNNNNNNNNNNNNNNNNNNNNNNNNNNNNNNNNNNNNNNGGUGGCGGCCAGGCGAGGGCGCGUGGAGGUGCCUUGGUGUCGGCGCAGGCUGGCGGGGCGGUGCCCCUCCGGCGUGUGGUGGCCGGAUCUGGUCAAACCUGGCCAGAUCUGUGGUGUGUUUGACGCGCGCCGGCCCUGCGCGCUGGUCCUAUGAUGCUGGAGCAGGCGGCUCCGGCCGUGAUAGAUGCGGGAUGCAGGGACUAAUCUGGUCACUGUAGGCUCGCAGUGGGCGGGGUGGACCACGACUCCAUGGCUUCUACGACUAGGUUCUGCGGCGGUGGCGGUGCGAGACUGCAUGGACGAGCUUCUGUGGGCACGAGCGAAGGUGUGCGGCGAUACGGACGAAAGUCCUGCACGACCAGAGGCCGGUGGCGAUGGCACCUGUGGGUGUCAUUUUCCUCCUUGGAGGCGUCACCUGAGGUGUGUCGGCAUCUUCCUCGUGCUCGGAUGGUGGUUUGUCUCCGGGCGAAAUCCUAGGUCCGGUGUUGGAUCGGCGUGAUGGCGGCGUGUUUGACGUCGUUCCUCUGUUGGGAGCAUCAUGUUUGGAGACACUUCCUGGAAGCUCUUUGUGGCGCUCCUCCGGUGCUCACCGCUGUUCAAGGUGAAGCUCUAGGCGCAAUGUACGACAUCAUCGAUGAGUCCAAGACGAAGCUCUUUCUGGGAUCGACCAAGUCCCGCCAUCUACCCCCUGCUUCCUGGGUGGAUGGUGCGUUGGCGAGGGAAGUUGUAGUGGGAGCUGCUGCUAUCUUCGGAGGUGAUCGGCGUUGUUCGAGACACGGUGGUGAUGCUUAGCUUAGGACAAGUGCUUCGGUUGUGUAGUCAUGUUGUUUGUGGUGGGUGUAGCUCUCCGCAGCUAUUAGGGCCGCAGUUUUUUCUUUCUCUUUUUGAUCUUCGGAUCUUCACCAUGUUGUUCUUCCGCUGCUUUCUGCUAAAUCUGAAUCAAGCCAACAAUUUGUUGGAUCUUUCAAAAAAAAAACUUUUGUGUUAUGAUCCAAUAGACGAUACUGCGGCAUUACCCAAUGCCACCCCUAGAAAAUGACAAAGCUGAUAGUAUGUGCUCUUCAUCACUUUUGCUACUUCCCCUAGAACAUUCGAUUUAUGUGGAGUUUGCUACAUGUCUCGCGACCUUUUGGUUGUUCAAUUAAGAAGCAUAGUGUUUUCCUAAGAUCACACAACCGAUUUGUUGUACUAAAUUCCAAGCUUGGGAUUGCGAUGCCAAUGUGUAAAGUUUAACUACUCCCUCCAUCCCAUAUUGUAGGACAUUUGUUGGCACUAGUGUAGUGUCAAAAAACGUCUUAGAUUAUGAGAUAGAGGGAGUAGUAAAGAAGAUUUGCGUGAUAUUGCAAUGUAUAAGGUGACUUUAUAACAUUGGUUUACAUGUAAUGUAAGCUUAUCUUCGUAUUUUCAGUUGAGAGAUCAUAACUGUUACGUUUUUCUUUUUGCUACAGAAAUGCCCCCUUUACAGCCAUUUGUGAAUAACCAAAUUUUAAGUGAGGACUAAUUCCCGACAAACCUUUGCUCAGCUGUUGCCCACCUCCCAUAAUGCUUUUAUGGCAGGCUGCCACUGGGCUCUUUUAUCCUGGUCCUGCUUCUUCUAUUCACCUUUUCUAAGCUUAUCAUGCAGCUCCAUUCCUUUCCUCAGCUGCUCUCUGUGUACCUCCUAUCAUCUCUCCUGGGUGAACUCUUUUGCUUACCCUCCAUUCCAUCCAGCUGCCUUGCUACAAGUUUGCCUCCUCCCUAGUGAUACUGCUCUAAUGUUUGGUUGUUUCCUCGCUAUAGCUCUUCGGAUGGGUGAUAGCUUUGGAAAUUUCCCAUUCCCGACAGGUCCUAUUGUGAUUCGAAAGUUGUCACCUUAAUGUAAAUUUUUGAUGAGUAGCAAUACCAAGCAUUUGGCUUCAAAGUUCAGACUUCCUUCAUCGUAUACACACUUAUAACUACGCCCUUUCACAUUGAUGCUCAUUUUGAAUAGUUACGAUACAUGCCUCUUCGUGGACUAGUGAUUGCUAUGAGAGCAUGGGGUCGUUUAGUCUUAUACUACUAUGUGUCUUGUUGUUUUCACUUGUAGUUUACGGACAUAGGUGUUCUGUUUAGAUAUUGUUUUGGUAUAUAUCCAUGUCGAUCUCACUUGCAUCUGUAAUGCUGCAAGUGGACGAUGGCUCCCCAACUUUCGGCUCGCUCCCCACGCUUCUCUCCCACCCAGGAUUUUGGUUACCGCUCGAAAUUUCGAGAUUUACCAUGGUUACUGCAUAUUUCUGCCCCCUCGGUAAAUGGGCAUUUCCAGCAUUUUUCUUUUGAGUUUUUGAAUUUUUUUUAAUUCAAACGCUCAAUGUAUAGUAAAGUGUGGCAGCACCUCACAGCAUGCGUGUAGACAUGUUCCACUGAGCUAAUAGCUCUUUAAUGAUAAAUAUAAGUUCAAGUGCUAUCUAUAUCUAUUUUGCAAGAAUUUGAAUUCAAAAUUCAAUUAUAAAUUUCGUGGUAACCGUGGUAACCAUGUUUACCGGUCCUCCUCGGUAAAAAUGCCCCAUUCAGUAACCAAAACGUUGCUCCCACCCACCCCCGCGUGUCGGCUGCUCGCUCCGACGGCCGGCGGACACCCUCCCGUCCGUCGGCUGCUCGACGGCCGGCGGUCACCCUUCCACAGCCCCAUCUGACGACCGACGACGAGCUUCGGAAUGUCUUGCUGUACAGCAACCCAUGGCAGCGGCCACCGCCUUUUGUUGCCAGGUAGCAGCGGUGGCUGCCAUUCUAAGGCUCGACCUCCACUCCGAUCAGCAGUUGAAUGAUGUCCGGCUCCGGUUGUAGACAAUCGGUGGUUCAGUAGUUGGUGAGCCUUCAGCCCGUGCUCGGAAAAUAGAUUCUUUUUCAUUAAGCAGCACUAUUUAUAUACUUGGUUCAAUGCAUUGAGCAAAGAAAAGGUGGAGGGCAUUUCAUUUAACCUCAUUUUUAAAGAAAAAGAACUUUACCAUCCAAUUGGACCAUUUUUUUUGCAAUGUUUGACAAGAAUCUAGUUACAAUUUCAUGUGCUUUUUACUUUGACUUGAUUGUAUUUUUUCUAUUCCUUAAAAAAGAGAGUCAAAAUGAGUGUGUUGAACCGCCUCUGUCUCCCAAACUCGUAGGUAGUGCCAUAUCUAGUAAUUUUGCUCAAGGUGGUGCAAUCCUCGAUACAAACGAUUCCCACAAAAAUAAUAUGCCAACAUACGAGUGUAGAAUUCAUCACAAGCAUAGAACAUUUACUGGAUUUAUUGCAUGGGUAGCAUGAUUGAUUGUCGAAACCCUCCUCUUACAUGUAACAGGUGAGGCAAAUGACAAGACACUUCAGAGAAAACACAUUAUGAAGAUAGGAGGGGAUUGACCACAUGACCGAUGAAUAGAACCACACCAGAAGUGUCUUCCAGGAUAAGGAAGAGGAAAGGGUGAUCCGCGAUGAAAUCCAAGACCGAGGGCGGCGGUGCUUGUCGCAGGACUACUUUAGCAAUAGUUGUUGCUGCAGCCUCAGUUCCUGUUUCGUUCACUUCGACAAAUGCUUUGUGGAAAAUGGAUGAGAUGUAGAGGUUCUAUGCCAUUGGGGAAUCCACCAUCUUUGAAAGAUCUGCUUCAGCACCGAAUGGUAGUUGUAGACCUAAACCUUUGAGCAAAUCAGAUGCCUCUAUUCCCAAGGAUAUCUUGAACUUGGGGAGCUUGAAUUGCCUGAGUGCAACCUUCUGCCUUGGGAUAUGUUGUUCCAGCAACUCUGGUUCGGCACUCAACUUUUCUGCCAAGCUCCAGAUACCACUUGGUGCUUCUGGAAGAAGGAUGUACAUGGAGAACUGCCUCUUGUCCCCACCUUGCUUGUAAGGAAGCUUAAGUACUUUCAAGCCAUCAGAAGAAGAAACAUAUUGUUCUCCUGAGCUGUACAUGAAUGGUGUUUGAAUUGAGCUCCCAUCAAGAAGGUAGAAGUAGUCGCUUUCUGUUCCACGUGGAUCAAACUGAUCUGUCCAAGCUCCUUUGAAAUAAAGGGCAUUGCCAAGAACAAGUCUAGUGGUAUUGCUAAUAGAUCCUGCGGGGAGAAUAUCUUUGAUGAGACCGGUUGUGACUUUCUCUACCCAUGAGUUCACUUGAGCAGUAACUUCUGCGGCCUAGAUCAAGUCAAAAUAAAAGAAAGGUCAAUUAUGUUAUAAGAAUACAUUGAAAAGUACUAUUGUGUCACCAAUGUUUUAAAAAAAUCUUCUCAAUGUAU
rnacentral:lncRNA from 1 species